rnacentral:rRNA from 1 species
AGAGUUUGAUCCUGGCUCAGAUUGAACGCUGGCGGCAUGCUUUACACAUGCAAGUCGAACGGCAGCACGGGCUUCGGCCUGGUGGCGAGUGGCGAACGGGUGAGUAAUAUAUCGGAACGUACCCAGAAGUGGGGGAUAACGUAGCGAAAGUUACGCUAAUACCGCAUACGAUCCACGGAUGAAAGUAGGGGACCUUCGGGCCUUAUGCUUUUGGAGCGGCCGAUAUCUGAUUAGCUAGUUGGUGAGGUAAAGGCUCACCAAGGCGACGAUCAGUAGCUGGUCUGAGAGGACGACCAGCCACACUGGAACUGAGACACGGUCCAGACUCCUACGGGAGGCAGCAGUGGGGAAUUUUGGACAAUGGGCGCAAGCCUGAUCCAGCAAUGCCGCGUGAGUGAAGAAGGCCUUCGGGUUGUAAAGCUCUUUUGUCAGGGAAGAAACGGGGUUGGCUAAUAUCCAGCCCUAAUGACGGUACCUGAAGAAUAAGCACCGGCUAACUACGUGCCAGCAGCCGCGGUAAUACGUAGGGUGCAAGCGUUAAUCGGAAUUACUGGGCGUAAAGCGUGCGCAGGCGGUUUUGUAAGUCUGACGUGAAAUCCCCGGGCUCAACCUGGGAAUUGCGUUGGAGACUGCAAGGCUAGAAUCUGGCAGAGGGGGGUAGAAUUCCACGUGUAGCAGUGAAAUGCGUAGAGAUGUGGAGGAACACCGAUGGCGAAGGCAGCCCCCUGGGUCAAGAUUGACGCUCAUGCACGAAAGCGUGGGGAGCAAACAGGAUUAGAUACCCUGGUAGUCC